rnacentral:tRNA from 1 species
GGUUUGUAGCUCAAUGGUAGAGCACUUGUCUUGCAUGCGUGAGGCUCUGAGUUUGAUCCUCAGCACCA